AAGGGCACUCAAGGAUGGCUCGAGACCCCUCCCCCAGGUGCCACCCCAGUCCUACCAGAGGCUCAUUCAGAACCAGCAGGACCAUUUUGGCAAGUGAGAGGAAGAACAGCACAGAUACGACCAUCUAAAGCAGACCUCGGGUCA